rnacentral:lncRNA from 1 species
CAAAGAUUAGAAACAACCCAAAUGUCUAGUGGCAGGUGAGGCAGAAGUACACUGAUUUCCGCCGUUGUUUAUUACCUAGGCCUUACUGGGUACCAGGUGGGUCUGGUGGAUGCACUUUUCAUGCUGUGUCUCAUUUUGUCUUCAAAACGACUGUAGCGGCUCUGGAGGUCAAAAGAAAUGAGACUGCUGGGCUAAGAUCAAGGUGUCAGCAGGGCUGUAUUCCUUCCCAAGGCUCCAGGGGAGAAUCUGUUCACUUGCCUUUCCCAGCUUCUAGAGGUUGCCUACAUUCCUUGGCUUGCGGACCCUUCCUCCAUCUCCAGAAUCAGUAACGAAAGAUCCAAAGCCAUAUCCUGGCUGAGUUGGCUGAGUUGAGCAGGACACUGACAAGGAGGCUGCUGAGCCUGCAACUCGACUGUUCUGUUUGAGGAGCUCUGUGCUUUAUCAUAGAAAUGGAUCUGAGGUGGGGUGUUGCUUUGUCUUGUGAUCGCAGCUCACGGCAGCCUUGGACUCGUGGGCACGAGCAAUCCUCCCACUUCAGCCUCCCAAGUAGCUGGGACCACAGGUACAUGCCACUGCACCUGGCCUAGUAUUCUCUAUCAAAUACUUAUUCAACAGUUAAAAUCUAUAUAGACCUUUGAGAUAGGAUAAUAAAAUAUUAUAGCUUGUAAUAAUUUUUU